CAUUGUCGACGCGUUGAGAGACGAAGAGAAUCGGUGACCAGACCGUAGAGUGGCCUAGCGGAGCASUUGCUGCCUCUGCCGGGCCCCUCUCCCUUUGCGCUCGUCGUUCCCGCCUCCCCCYGCUCGCGGCGGGGUGGCAGGACGGGUACGCAUGGGCCUUCAACGAACCCUCGACGCGGGCCGCGUCAAGGACUAUACUUGAUUUGACCUUACAGGGCGCGACCCUAGCUUCGCCUCGCCUCCGUGCGGUGCGCAUGCUGCUUCACGUCUCUGUCGGAAAAAGAUAACGAUGACUCUCGGCAACGGAUAUCUAGGCUCUCGCAUCGAUGAAGAACGUAGCGAAAUGCGAUACCUGGUGUGAAUUGCAGAAUCCCGUGAACCAUCGAGUCUUUGAACGCAAGUUGCGCCCGGAGCCGUCAGGCCGAGGGCACGUCUGCCUGGGCGUCGCACGUACCCUCGCUCCUCUUCCCGCAUCUUCCCGGAUGCGCGGUUCGGGGAGUCGGAUAUUGGCCAUCCGUGUGGUGGAAUCACGGUUGGCUCGAUGUMUGCAUGCAUGCGCGUUCGCAUCACGACGGGUGGUGAUCGUCCAUGAGAUGCCCGUGUACGUCGUGAUCGUCGCGUUGCAUGUUUCCCAUUGGUCGCCCRUCACGGUGAAGGCACGUUCAAGUGCCACUCCGAACCGUACGACCCCAG
rnacentral:rRNA from 1 species